rnacentral:rRNA from 1 species
CUUGAACGCUGGCGGCAGGCCUAACACAUGCAAGUCGAACGAGUGGCGGACGGGUGAGUAAUGUCUGGGAAACUGCCCGAUGGAGGGGGAUAACUACUGGAAACGGUAGCUAAUACCGCAUACCAUCGGAUGUGCCCAGAUGGGAUUAGCUAGUAGGUGGGGUAACGGCGCACCUAGACGACGAUCCCUAGCUGGGCUGAGAGGCUGACCAGCCAAACUGGAACGGAGACACGGUCCAGACUCGUACGGGAGGCCGCAGUGGGGAAUAUUGCACAAUGGGCGCAAGCCUGAUGCAGCCAGGCCGGGGGGAGGAAGAAGGCCUUCGGGUGGGAAAGUACUUUAAGCGAGGAGGGGUUACUCGCAGAAGAAGCACCGGCUAACUCCGUGCCAGCAGCCGCGGUAAGUC